rnacentral:miRNA from 1 species
ACAGGGACCUGAAGCCGGA